CGGCGUAGACCUGCUGCGGCGAGAUGUAGUGGACGUGGGUGUCCAUGCCGCCGGCGGUCAGGAUCAGGUGCUCGCCAGAGAUUGCGUCGGUCGAGGCGCCGGUGACGAGGCCGGGCGUGACGCCGUCCAUGGUCGAGGGGUUGCCGGCCUUGCCGAGGCCGACGAUGCGGCCAUUGCGGAUGCCGACGUCGGCCUUGACGACGCCGAGCGUCGGCUCGAGCACGGUGACGUUGGUGAUGACGAGGUCGAGGCAGCCGGCUUCCUGCGUCAGCUGGUUCUCGGAACCCAUGCCGUCGCGCAG
rnacentral:sRNA from 1 species